rnacentral:rRNA from 1 species
UACGAAGGGGGCUAGCGUUGCUCGGAAUCACUGGGCGUAAAGGGUGCGUAGGCGGGUCUUUAAGUCAGGGGUGAAAUCCUGGAGCUCAACUCCAGAACUGCCUUUGAUACUGAGGAUCUUGAGUUCGGGAGAGGUGAGUGGAACUGCGAGUGUAGAGGUGAAAUUCGUAGAUAUUCGGAAGAACACCAGUGGCGAAGGCGACACACUGGCCCAUUACUGACGCUGAGGCUCGAAAGCGUGGGGAGCAAACAGG